GCCUGUGUAAGCAGGCAUUUGGGCUGCAAGCCCAGGGGACUCAUAAUCCCUUGGUCGCAGGUUCAAAUCCUGCUGGGCCCA
rnacentral:tRNA from 1 species